UCAGCUUAUAUGAUUAUUAUUACACUCUUAGUAUCUUCUUUUUUUCUGUUUAGAUUCUCUGUCUAUGGUCAUACUUCCUGGUAGAGAGAAGCUUCAAUAAUCUUGACUGUUUUUACUUCCAGAGAAAACAAAUUCUGCACAGAGGCACAAGAAACAAAGGUUUCUUCAAAACUUAAAACAACCUAUUUUGGGUAAGAUCAAUCUUUGGUGAAAAUGAAUUUUCCCUAAGCAAUAAUUUGAACAUAAGUGGCUGAGAUAUUUAAUUAACCUGUGAAUAGCUUCAGAACACAUCUGACUGUAUUAUUCAAAUUAAAAUUGAGAUAUGGUCUGUCUUCCCGGUCAACACAAAGGGCAUAUUGACAUAAAGUCUAGAAAAGCAGAACUAAAAAAGCAGAAUAUUUCAGAGCAUGUCCACUGCUGUCCUGGUAAGACACCACUGGCUGGGGGCCAUUUCUACCAAAUACAGAAGAUAGAGGAAUGGUGCUGAGCAGUUGGAUAAAUGAAUAAGUUGGGGUGACUGUUCUUCCUCCAAUUCUGUGUUCACCACGACAAUCUUCUGGUUAUAAUCUUGUUUUCCCUGCAGAUUCUCCUACGGAAAUAAUUCUGACUACAGAAAACUGGCAGUCGAAGUUGUUGGCAGUUCUAUUUUUAUGGCUAAUUAAUAAAUUGAAAUCUCCCAAGCCUGAGCACCAUGGAGCAUGCAGACCAAGUGGAAUUUCUAGGAUUACAGAGGGAUCCUGCUUGACCUAGAGUGACCUCAGUGGAUGCUGUCUCCAAGGUCACAUGCCCAGGGUGCCACUGGACUCUCUAGAUGAGCUCUUUAUUUCCUUUCAGUAAAUGUGAGGGAUCAGAAUGAUAGUUAUGGUGUAUAGUGCUAGAAUUCUACCAGUUUGGAUUUAGACCAUAGGCAUAACUAUAUUUAUGUUCUUGGUUUAUCAUUUAGUCAAUUGUUCCUGUUACAAACUGAUUAUCACUAUGUUCUGAGCAUUUUAUUAGGCACGGGAAUACAGUGACAAAUAGAGUACAAUUCCUACCAUCAGAAGCUUUCAGUUCAAUUAUAGAAACCCUAUUUUAAACAAAUAGUCAGACGGUAUGCUAAAUACCUAAACACUGUUACAGAAAAAGCUAUGCUGUAGGAUUGGUUAUGUGUUUAUGUAGACAAAUUAAAGAAGGCUUCAUAGCAUUUAAGCAGCCUUGCACGUAACCAGGAAUUUGGUGGGUAGAUGGGAGAAUCAGCAAUUCUCCAGGAAAAGUGAAGAACAUCCUCAAGUAAGUGGAUCAUCCAGGAUGGAAUGGAGGUUAUCCCACAGUUUGGGUUGGGAAAUAGAGACCAGGAGAGUGGAUGAAGCUGGAAAGGUAAGCCGGAACUGUCAGGUGAUGGGCUUUGCAAGUUAUACUAAGGACUUCUGUUUUUGUGCUGUACAUUGCAGGAGGAAUACAUGAAAGAUUCCCCAGGGAACGUCGUUUAUCACAGCAUUGGUCUGAUUACAGAGGUUGGGUGGGAUGGGGAUGGGUCUGGCCUCAGGAAGACCAAUCUGCAGACUCUUUCUGCAGUCUGGCUGAGGGCUGAGGGUGAGAACUGUUGCAAUUAAUAUCAGGACAGAAAUUUGAAAGAGGGUUCAAACAGAAUUAAGGCAGGUGAGGUGUCAUAGGGACAGGAAGAGGAAGAAUGUUUGAUUCCCACAUUUCUGAUUUGGGGUAGUCAGAGUGCUGUUAAUCUCCAUAAGCACUGAAAGGAAGACCAAAAACUUUUAUGGGUGAAAAAUACAGAUUUAUUUUUGUAUUGACUUUGAUCUAUUCAGGUCAAAUUUGAAACCUGAGAGAGAUUGCCAAGCUGGAAAUAAAUGUUUUAUGAUUAAAGAAUGAGCAGCAGUAAAGCGAGGGAAUGGGUAUUGCCUGAGAAGGUUGUGUUAAGUGAGGAGGGAACGGUGCCAGAGGCGGCCUCGAGAGAACUUUAACAUUCAGGGAUGGACUGCGGCGUAAGGGGAGCUGGGAAUAAGGAGCCAAUGGAUGAUUUGUUUUGGAAUAUUUCCAUGCUAAAUUGUCUGGCUGACAAUGGCCAGGACUGUUCUUUGCAUUUUUUUUUGGUCUCCUUCCCCCUCCUUCGUCUUCUUCCCUUUCACCCCCUUUUUGCCUUCCUCUUUUAUUCCUCCUCCUUGUACGCUUCUCCCUUCCCCCUUACUUUUCAAUUCUUGGUUGUUCCAAAAUAAAGCCUAGGGACUUUGAAAAUGCAUUUCUUCCUAUAUUUUUUCCCUACCCAACUUCAGAAUCUUAAAUAUACAGUGUUCUGGCUGGGUAACAGUCACGUGACAGCUAAUAGCAAGAAAAACUUAACAUUGAAUGAGCAUUUUAUGUAUCCCAUGGAUAAUCUCAUUUGGAUCUUCCAAAAUCCCGUGACGGAACUUUCUGUCUUCAUUUUAACUGGGAUGAAACAGAGGCUCAGAGAUGCUACACAUCCUCCCCACAGUCACACAGCCAGAUGUGAUAGGAUUUAAACCUAUGUUUAUGAGCCUGCAUUCUAUAUGGUGUUGUCUUUUUUGAUUUCCUGUUACUUGUUCCUCUUAUCAAUUCUAGUUUGGUGAUGUUCCAUCCAUUUGCACUCAGCGUUUCUUUGAAUAUUGAACCCUUAAUUCUGACCUGCCCGAGAAAAGUUCCCUUCUAAGUGUGUCUCUUUCCCUGUGACUUCAGUAAGACCUCUGGCUCUAUUCCAGGUUUUCACCUGCUUCCUAAUAAUCCCUGCAUCUUUGCAAGCACAGCCCCGGUUCCCAUGUCCUACCUACUGCUUGGUUUUCAGUUCUGCUCCUGCUGGUUGACUUUGCCAACAAGGCGGUAACCUCGCUCCUGAUGAAUGAUGAUGAUAAUAAUAACAGCAAAUGCUUGCACUUAUGAUAUGAAGACACGUACUCCCUCUUCUUAGCUCACAACCACCCUGAGGAGGAGUCACGGAGCUUGCCAUGACCUCCUCACUUCUAGCCUUUGCCCUGAUUGGCCUUCCCACAGUCCUUGGGGUUCCCCCCUCUACUCUGCAGGGUCUAUGGCGUGUCCCUGUCUUGCUCCUCUUCUGCUGGCAGCCCAAACCUCCCUGGCUAAGGUCUCUGUGUGACGUUGUAAGGACGGAGCCUCCAUUUCCUAGGAACUUUGUCUCCUCUUUCCACCACUUCCGCUUUUGAGAAUAAACUCCCCCAAAUCCGCCUUUUCAAAUUGCUGGCAGUGUUUCAAACAGAGUAUUAAAGUGCUUCAUUGCUGUAAACAGAACACUAAACAGUCGUGGUCUUUCUUCAGCACAGAAUACAGGGAAGGCAGGUCCGCUGGGGCAAACCUGUCACUGUGGUUUUCUGGAGGAAACAUUGUUGGGUUGGUUGAGUUUUACUUUAUUUAUUUGAUUUCUCUGAGUGUAAUAAACUGGGUAACCUACCAGCCCUUGGUGAAGCCGAGGAAUGUCUCUCCUCACAAUUCUUAAAUUCUUCCCUCUGCAAUUUGAGUGCCCCAUAGCAGAGAGAAAUGGAAGUGGCUGGAGGUUUUUGUACUGCAAGACUAGCAUGCUGUAUAGUAACAUUCCUGUAGCAACAGUUUUAUUACACAGAAGAAAUGAAGCCCUCUUGUAUGGAGGAAAGCACAAAGCUUGCACCAAUUUAGGAUUAAAAAUGAAAUUUCAGAUUUCCUGUUUGUUAUAGGUGUGGUUCCCAUGGGCUUCCAUCAAUUUUCUCCUAGGUCAGAGGUAUUUUGGUGGAAAUUUUGUGAUGCUCUGACCUAGUGUGUGCGUGAACAGAGGCAGGUGUACGGAUCCGGUGCUUACUAGGUGUUCUCCCUCCCUUUCUGUCCCUCUUUCCUUCUCUCAUUCUGCGCUUUUUUUCUCUCCCCUUUCACCUCAGUUGCUAGCUCUUAUUUUCUGUCUUGGUGAAAUGCUCUCUUUAGUGGCACUGGCCUUCCUCAGGCACCAGUGUGCUUGGGAAUUGUACAGCUGUCAUGGACUCUUAGAAUGCAAGAGCCUGCAGCAACCACAGAAGCCCGCCCCUUUCAUAUGCUACAUGGAAGUCAGUCAAGGUCACAUAGCUGGCUAGAGGCUGAGCCAGGCAAGACCCCUGGGUUCCUGGCUCGUGGUCCAGAGAGCUCAGCAAAGUCAAAUGGGCUGUCAACCAAUGCACUAGCUCUCAUUUCAUGAACAGGUUGUGGGAUUUGCAGCUCAUUUGUUGUUGGUGCUGCCAUAAGAACAAGAUCAUGGUGAUGAUAGGAGGUGUCCGCUCCAGAUUAGUAAUAGAACAGCCCUUCUGGAAAUACCAGAGCUGGAGCACUUGCCAAACUGUAGUAACCGGUGCCCAUGAGGCUCAGGAACCCAGAUCCAGCCAAAACCAGGGCCAGCUGCUCGAGGGGAAGGAACGAUCUGUUCCUUCCCUGCCCAUAUGGGGAGCUGGGCAUGGCCUGAGGCAGGCCACUGUUAGCACAGCUGCUUUCCUGAGAGGAAAGACAUCGCGAAUGCCUCCACAUUCCUGCAUCCUUGUUCUCCUUGGCAACAGACUGAGUUAUUUUUCUCAAUGAUUAUAUGGUAGAUUAAUAACUAAAAGCUAUUUUUAAAAAAUUUAUGGGCAAAUCCAGAUCUCUUCUUUCACAUAAACGAGUGCUACAUGGAUGUUAGACUUAGAUGAAUCCAGAUAAUUUUGUAUCCUAUCUUCUUUUCCACAAAUAUCUCAAGAAUUACUCCAAGACAGGUCUUUUGAGAGGAGCUCGGAAAAUAGGAGAGAUACAUUCCCUGUCCUCAAGGAUCUGAUCAUCGACUCGGGGAGUAUUUAGUUUUCUACUGCUGCUGCAGCAACUUACCACAUAUUUGGUGGCUUAAACAACACAAUUGGUUAUUUUACAGUUCUUGUGGUCAGGAGUCCAAAAUAGAUCUUGCCAAAUCCAAGUGCUGAAGGCCUUGUUCCUUCUGGAACCUCUGGGGGAGAAUCUGUUUCUUGCCUGAUCUGGCUUCUAAGUCCACCCACAUUCCUUGGCUUUUGGCUCCCUUUUCCAUCUUCAAAGGAUGGAACAAUAGCCAGGAAAGCCUCUAACUGCUAUCUCCCUGUUCAUACUCAUCCACCUCCCCCUUCCACAGCUAAGGACCUGUGGUGACUGCAUAUGCUGCUCCCAUGGGUAAUCCUUUCAUCUUUAAGUUUGAUUAGCAGCCACUGGCACCUUUUAUCAUGUAUGCCAACAGAUUCACAAGUUUUGGGGGUUGGAAUACAGCCUCAUGGGAGGCUUUAAUCUGUCUUCCAUGGAGAUUUAGACACCCUCCUAGUUGGGCACUGAACUCCAGGGAUGGUGCUGUGAUAGGAACACACAAGAACAGCAUUUGACUCAGGGGUUGGAGUGCUGUGGAGCUGUGGUCAGGGAUGAUGUCCUGGAAAAUGCGAUAUUUCAGCCUAUACUUUUAAAGUGUGUGACAUCCUGGCCAAGAAGAAGUAAAAGGACACACAGAAGCAAAUGGAGGAUGCAGAUGUGGCUAGAAUUUGGGGUCUGGGAAGGAGAGUUAGUGGGUGAUAAGCAAGGCUGGAAAGCCAUGGCAGGCCACAGAUGGAACCCUCAGAAAUGACAACUGGGCCUUUUGUUUUGAAGCAAUGUUUGGUCUGAAGUGGGGGAAGGCAGCAAGGCAUAAUAAACUCCUCCAGAACUAACAGCCAGUGUUACCAUCCUUAGGCUUGGGGUCAGUGGGAGGAAGGAGUUGCCAGAAGAAUGUGAGACCUUUGGCUAUAGGAAGAAACACCCUCUAGAAGCCAUGAUAUUUAACAAAAAGACAAAGCAAAGAGAAACAAAACAAACUAUCACAUCCAUGGUGCAACUACAGCUCACAGAGAAGAGAGGAUCAGAGGAACAGAAACUCUUACCUAAAGAAAGAUGAAUCUUCCAUCUUUCAGUCUGUUGUUCUUUUCUUGCAUUGGCAAACCCACUUACAAGCCAAGAGGAAACUGAACCUGAUGAACACAAUCUGCAGGAUUUAGACCUCUGGGUCAGAAGAGAUGGAUUAGAAUGGAAAACCAUAGGAACCAGACAGGGGCACCUUGCAUGUCAUGAAUAAAGAAUCUGCACUCUACACCAAAGGCCACAGAGAGGCUCAGAAGAACUUUAUACAGAUCAGUCAAUGGCUCUUACCAUUCCAAAUGCAUAGUGCCUUUAUCAUAUAAGUCUUCCAUCAGGCCUGGCCAGGCUGCUUCUUGGCACUGUGGUCCCAGAUGCAACAGUAGGAUGAGAAAUGGGAUGAGUAGACUUUUCUCAAGUCUCUGCAUGUGUCGCAACUACUGACAUCCUAUUGAUCAAAGUGAUCAUUAUGACUAAAGAGACUCUUUCUCUUGAUGAGGGGAACUCCAAACUCAUAUGGCAAAGAACAUGGACAGAGGAGAGAGAGAAAAUUUGCACCAUUAAUGCAAUCAAUCAUUGCUGGAUGCCUCAUUGUAGGCAAUGAAGAUUUAUUUAUCUAUCAAAUUAUUUGUUUAUUGUGAGAUUCUCCAACUGUAACUGUAAGCUCUGCAAGAGUACAGCUGUAUAUCUAGUGACUCUAAAAUAAUGUGUUCUAAGUAUAUUUUUUCACUGAAGCUUUAAGUAAACGUGUUGAGUUGCAAUGGAAA